AAGGACCCGGUCAGCCCUGGGAGCACAGGUGAAGGCAAUUGAGCUCUGCGACCAGAGGGGGUGGAGCCUGGCUGCACCUCUCUUAGACCUCACUUAAGGGCUGACUGCCACUGGGGAAGGAUCUCCUCGUGGAGAUCUCUCUUUGGUGAAGCUUUUUCCUGCAAACCUGGAAUCUUCUGAUAUGGUGAUCUGUUCAAUUGCUUCGCUCCCCCAAGCAGCGGCCAAUGAAGCACUUUAUGAUUUAAGGCUUGUUAACCAGUACCUUGAAAUUCUGCAAGGCGAGUUUGCAUAGCAUAUCCUUGAAAUUACACUUGGAAGCUAUUACUUGGACAGUUACUUUAGAGGCAUUCUUGGAGGUCAUUACAGUUUUUGUCAAGAACAGUUUAAUUCUCUGCCAUUUUCCACUUUUGUUAUUAUUGUGGACCAUCGUGGGAGCAGGUUAAUUUGGUCCAAUUUCCUCAUCAUGUUCUGUCCCUCAUCUCAUGAAUGCAAACACGUGAAGGCUGGACUCUGCCGAAGAUUAAACUUGUGGUGACAAGUAAUUCUUGUGACAGAGGCUUUAAUGAGAAGAGAAAAAGACCUUAAAAUAUCUUCUUACACUUAAUAAGGAUAAUCUAAAAAGUUGUAUGGAACUCGUUGGAGGACAGCUCUGACUGGUCUGCUGGUCACACUGAGCCAGCCACACUGGGCUGGCCUUGGCCAUGGAGGUGCAGGAAGGUGACUCCAUGGGCAGGCAAUAUCAGAGCCCCUCUCUUUGAAAAGCACAGAAAGCUUCUCAGCAUUGAUCUAGGAGAAAGCCAGCUGGUGGCCCUGCUGUCUGGAGGCAGUGCUGUGUGUGAGGGGCUGAGUCCUGCCAUCUUGCCAUGCAGAAGCCUUGCUCUGUCCUGUCCUCUUCCCCAGCUUUCUGCUAGAGACAAUAUGGACACAGCAUCACCACCUCAGGCCAAAGUCUGUGAGAAAGAUGUGAGAAAUAAGCACACACUGAACCUGCCUCAGA
rnacentral:lncRNA from 1 species